CACAUCCUGCAUCUCCCUCCAGCUUCAGGGAGGAUUCCAGGAGUGGCGUGGGGCUAGGGUGGCCUGAGAGACUUCAGGGACAAGUGCCUAGCAGAGUUCCACAUAUGUGAAAUAAGAUGCUUUGGGAAAUCAUUCUUCUUUUUGCAACGUCAGUGAUUUGAACCAGAAACUGAUAUUGACUCACCUGGGCUCUGACUCUUUCCAAGUUACACAUCUGGGGGCCUGAGGAACCGCCCCAUGAGUCCCCGGAGCUGCCGUGGGCAUGGGACGGGAAGCUUUGUAAGCAAUUAAUCACAGUUAGCCUCAUCUGAUCGCCACUGGCCACGAUCAGGCCCUCUGAAAGUGCCUACUUGGAUGCUUGCCAAUCUGCUAUGCCUUGGAGGAAAAAAUCAUUUCAAUUUAAGAAAAUAGACACAGAAGCAAAAAACCAAAGUGAGCCUGGAAGGUUUGCCUGUCCGUGACAGUCUACAGAGCAGCUGUUUGUGCCUGUCACCUGCUCAGGCUCUCACGGUGACUGCAUGGGGAGGGCAGGGUGUGUGCAUUGAUACCUGCCGUGCCCAGUGUACACCGAGGUUUGCCCAUGCUGCAGCUGGAAGGCAGUAGAACAAAGGUUCGUUCCAACCUCUACACCUGAAUUGCAUUCUGCGUCAUCGUCCUGCCUUCUAGAACAACAUCCAACUCCAUGGGCUGCCUUUUAAGAUCUUGAUGGAGGGGGAG
rnacentral:sRNA from 1 species